GCUGUUCGCCAAUUAAAGCGGUACGCGAGCUGGGUUUAGACCGUCGUGAGACAGGUCGGUCCCUAUCUGUCGUGGGUGUAGGAGAUUUGAGGAGAACUUCCCCUAGUACGAGAGGAUUGGGGAGGACGGACCUCUGGUGUUCCUGUUGUCGCGUCAGCGGCACCGCAGGGUAGCUAAGUCCGGGAAGGAUAAGCGCUGAAAGCAUAUAAUCGCGAAGCCCCCUCCAAAACUAGAUCUCCCUUGAGACACCUGGAAGACCACCAGGUUGAUAGGCCGGGUGUGUAAGCGUCGCAAGACGUUCAGCUGACCGGUACUAAUCAGUCGAUUGGCUUGGCCAC
rnacentral:rRNA from 1 species